AUGCCCGCGCUUCUCCUCAACACCGCCGCCCCCCUCGCCAAUCCUAGCAGCCUCAGGCCGUCCUUCGGUUCCUCCCGCCACCAGCACCGAUGCCGAGCCGCCGCCUCCUCGUCGUCGUCGUCGUCCAGCUCUAGCGGCCGCGCGGGAUCGUCGUGGGCGACGGACUACGACCUGUACGAGCUGCUCGGGGUGGAGCCCUCGUCGCCGCAGGCCGACAUCAAGGCCGCCUACCGGGCGCUGCAGAAGCGCUGCCACCCGGACGUCGCCGCCAACGGCGGCAACGGCCCCUCCGCCCACGACAUGGCCGUGGUGCUCAACGAGGUGUACGCGCUGCUGUCCGACCCGGCGCAGCGCCGGGCCUACGACCGGGAGCACGCGCGCCGGUCCGAGUUCCAGGGCUACACGGGCCGCCCGCUCUACUCGUCGUGGCGCGGCGGGGACGCCGAGACGCGCGCCGUGUUCGUCGACGAGGUCGCCUGCGUGGGGUGCCUCAAGUGCGCGCUCCACGCCGGCCGCACCUUCGCCAUCGAGUCCGUGCACGGCCGCGCCCGCGUCGUCGCCCAGUGGGCCGACCCCGAGGACCGCAUCGCCGACGCCGUCCAGACCUGCCCCGUCGACUGCAUCUCCUACGUCGACCGCUCCGACCUGGCGGCGCUCGAGUUCCUCAUGUCCAAGCUGCCGCGUCGCAGGGUCCGCGUCUCCGAGGCCAAUGCCGCCGGCUCGCCCGACAUCUUCGCCGAGGUCGCCAAGUUCAAGGCCAGGUUCGACAAGAUGGAGAACAAGUCCGCCACCAGGCAAUCCGAGGAGUCGGAGGCGACGUGGCAGUCGAGGAGCUCGGCGGUCCAGACCAUCAUGUCCAUGUCCAACUGGUGGUACUGGCGGCCGUUCAGAGCCCCAGCCGGCGCCGCCACCGCCGCCGUCCCUGCCCCUCUCCGCCUGCUGCCACCGCCACAGUCACCGCCGCCUCCUUCAGCUGCUGCCGACCCCGUGACGGAGAGGCUCAAGGAGGCAGCCGCGCGACGCAAGGCGGAGGGCGCGACGGCGUCGGCGGUGUACGCCCGCCAGCGCGACGAGUACUGGACCCCGCAGCGGAACCUUCCGUCCACGGCCUCGUUUCCGUCGCCGGAGGCCCAGAGCGCCGCGCCGCCGCGGAGACGGGUGCGAAGAGCGUCCGGUGGCGAGAGGCCGACCGAGAGGAGGGCGAGGAUCGACCUGACGGUGCCGAUGCUGAUGGCGAUCGUCGCGGCGGGGAUCGCCGGGUACAACAGGGAGGAGAUGGGCGGUGGCGUGAUCGAGGACCACAUCGGCGGUGAGGCUGCUCUCGGAGUCGUGAAUAGCUCUGAGCUCCAGGUUGUCUUGGCCGGCGUGACGUGGUUCGUCAUCGGAGCCGCUGUCGCCGGCUUCCUUCAGGUGGUGCUUGGAAGAAGAAACGAGUAG
rnacentral:rRNA from 1 species